UACGUAGGGUGCAGGCGUUAUUCGGAAUUACUGGGCGUAAAGCGUGCGCAGGCGGUUUGCUACGUCAGGUGUGAAAUCCCCGGGCUUAACCUGGGAACUGCGCUUGUUACUGGCAAGCUGGAGUGCGGCGGAGGGGGGUGGAAUUCCACGUGUAGCAGUGAAAUGCGUAGAGAUGUGGAGGAAUACCGAUGGCGAAGGCAGCCCCCUGGGAUAACACUGACGCUCAUGCACGAAAGCGUGGGGAGCAAACAGG
rnacentral:rRNA from 1 species